AAUGAACGCUGGCGGCAGGCCUAAAACAUGCAAGUCGAACGCCCUAGCAAUAGGGAGUGGCGCACGGGUGAGUAACAUGUGGGAAUAUGCCUUUUGGUACGGAACAACGUUUGGAAACAAACGCUAAUACCGUAUGGUCCCUCCGGGGUAAAGAUUUAUCGCCAAAAGAUUAGCCCGCACUAGAUUAGCUAGUUGGUAAGGUAAUGGCUUACCAAGGCGACGAUCUAUAGCUGUUCUGAGAGGAAGAUCAGCCACACUGGGACUGAGACACGGCCCAGACUCCUACGGGAGGCAGCAGUGGGGAAUCUUAGACAAUGGGGGAAACCCUGAUCUAGCCAUGCCGCGUGAUCGAUGAAGGCCUUAGGGUUGUAAAGAUCUUUCAGUGGGGAAGAUAAUGACUGUACCCACAGAAGAAGCCCUGGCUAACUCCGUGCCAGCAGCCGCCGUAAUAC
rnacentral:rRNA from 1 species